AACGAACGCUGGCGGCAUGCCUAACACAUGCAAGUCGAACGAGACCUUCGGGUCUAGUGGCGCACGGGUGCGUAACGCGUGGGAACCUGCCCUUAGGUUCGGAGUAACUCCCCGAAAGGGGUGCUAAUACCGGAUAAUGUCUUCGGACCAAAGAUUUAUCGCCUUUGGAUGGGCCCGCGUUGGAUUAGCUAGUUGGUAGGGUAAAAGCCUACCAAGGCGACGAUCCAUAGCUGGUCUGAGAGGAUGAUCAGCCACACUGGGACUGAGACACGGCCCAGACUCCUACGGGAGGCAGCAGUGGGGAAUAUUGGAAAAUGGGCGAAAGCCUGAUCCAGCAAGGCCGCGUGAGUGAUGAAGGCCUUAGGGUUGUAAAGCUCUUUUACCCGGGAUGAUAAUGACAGUACCGGGAGAAUAAGCUCCGGCUAACUACGUG
rnacentral:rRNA from 1 species